rnacentral:rRNA from 1 species
CGCGGCCUAUCAGCUUGUUGGUGGGGUAGUGGCUUACCAAGGCUUUGACGGGUAGCCGGCCUGAGGGGGUGACCGGCCACAUUGGGACUGAGAUACGGCCCAGACUCCUACAGGAGGCAGCAGUGGGGAAUAUUGCACAAUGGGCGGAAGCCUGGUGCAGCAACGCCGCGUGCGGGAUGACGGCCUUCGGGUUGUAAACCGCUUUCGCCUGUGACGAAGCGUGAGUGACGGUAAUGGGUAAAGAAGCACCGGCUAACUACGUGCCAGCAGCCGCGGUGAUACGUAGGGUGCGAGCGUUGUCCGGAUUUAUUGGGCGUAAAGGGCUCGUAGGUGGUUGAUCGCGUCGGAAGUGUAAUCUUGGGGCUUAACCCUGAGCGUGCUUUCGAUACGGGUUGACUUGAGGAAGGUAGGGGAGAAUGGAAUUCCUGGUGGAGCGGUGGAAUGCGCAGAUAUCAGGAGGAACACCAGUGGCGAAGGCGGUUCUCUGGGCCUUUCCUGACGCUGAGGAGCGAAAGCGUGGGGAGCGAACAGGCUUAGAUACCCUGGUAGUCCACGCUGUAAACGGUGGGUACUAGGUGUGGGGUCCACUCCACGGGUUCCGUGCCGGAGCUAACGCUUUAAGUACCCCGCCUGGGGAGUACGG